rnacentral:rRNA from 1 species
GAUGAACGCUAGCGAUAGGCCUAACACAUGCAAGUCGAGGGGCAGCAUAGAGUAGCAAUACUUUGAUGGCGACCGGCGCACGGGUGAGUAACACGUAUGCAACCUACCUACAUCAGGGGAAUAACCCGGAGAAAUUCGGACUAAUACCGCAUAAUACAGGGAUGCCGCAUGGCAAUAUUUGUUAAAGAUUUAUCGGAUGUAGAUGGGCAUGCGUUCCAUUAGCUAGUUGGUGAGGUAACGGCUCACCAAGGCAACGAUGGAUAGGGGAACUGAGAGGUUUGUCCCCCACACUGGAACUGAGACACGGACCAGACUCCUACGGGAGGCAGCAGUGAGGAAUAUUGGUCAAUGGACGAGAGUCUGAACCAGCCAAAUCGCGUGAAGGAAGACUGCCCUACGGGUUGUAAACUUCUUUUGUACAGGAAUAAAAGACAUUACGUGUAAUGUAUUGCAUGUACUGUACGAAUAAGCAUCGGCUAACUCCGUGCCAGCAGCCGCGGUAAUACGGAGGAUGCGAGCGUUAUCCGGAUUUAUUGGGUUUAAAGGGUGCGCAGGCGGGAUUUUAAGUCAGCGGUGAAAUUUUCAGGCUCAACCUGAACACUGCCGUUGAAACUGGGAUUCUUGAGUAUGGAUGAAGUAGGCGGAAUUCGUUGUGUAGCGGUGACAUGCUUAGAUAUAACGAGGAACUCCGAUUGCGUAGGCAGCUUACUAAGCCAUAACUGACGCUCAAGCACGAAAGCGUGGGGAUCAAACAGGAUUAGAUACCCUGGUAGUCCACGCCGUAAACGAUGAUUACUAGUUGUUUGCGAUAUACCGUAAGUGACUAAGCGAAAGCGAUAAGUAAUCCACCUGGG